rnacentral:lncRNA from 1 species
AUGGGCUCGGGGCUUAGCCCGUGCUCCGGAAGCGGAAGGAGGGGCCGCGGGUGGCUCUCGGCUAGAGCGGCGGAAGGGGAAGGGCAAGGUCGAGGCGGGGUGGGGGGCAGGGUAGGGCAUGACUUUAUAUCGGAAUCCCUCCGUGUGGAGUCGGUACCGCCGCAUCCUGGGCGUCGCCGGGUUCGCGGCCGUGAUGACGGUGGUGUUGUACCCCAUCUGCAUCCGUCCCUUGAUGAACGCCGACGACUACAAAAAACUGCAAGCAAAAAAUCGAACUUAUUAUACAAAAGAAAAUGUGCCUCCAGGAUUAACACCAGGGUCUCAGCUAUCUGGAAGCAAAUGACUUUGAUAAAGAAUGUGUUCUUCCUUGUUUGAUCCUGGAUAUUCUGACUUCUUUCAAUCAGCUAAGAUGCUGCAGAAAAGAGCUUGCCUGUGUUGGAGUGUUUUAUAGCAUCGUUUACUUGCAAAGCAGUGGCAGCUGCUGACCAUUAAAGAUUAGAGACACCUUUGUCCCUAUGAUCCAGUAGUUUGGGGGGGGGGGAAAUCAACAUUUCUGUUAAGCAAAUGGAAUAAUUGCUUUCUUCUUAUUGGAAAAAUGGAAGCAAAUUACUUGGGUGAAUAGGGAUUGGACAUGACUAUAAUAGAUUGUCCAACUGAUGUAUCUAUAAAAGUGCACUGGAUAAUAAAAUAUCUACAAAACAGAAUAUCA